rnacentral:rRNA from 1 species
GAUGAACGCUGGCGGCGUGCCUAAUACAUGCAAGUCGAGCGAACAGACGAGGAGCUUGCUCCUCUGACGUUAGCGGCGGACGGGUGAGUAACACGUGGAUAACCUACCUAUAAGACUGGGAUAACUUCGGGAAACCGGAGCUAAUACCGGAUAAUAUAUUGAACCGCAUGGUUCAAUAGUGAAAGACGGUUUUGCUGUCACUUAUAGAUGGAUCCGCGCCGCAUUAGCUAGUUGGUAAGGUAACGGCUUACCAAGGCAACGAUGCGUAGCCGACCUGAGAGGGUGAUCGGCCACACUGGAACUGAGACACGGUCCAGACUCCUACGGGAGGCAGCAGUAGGGAAUCUUCCGCAAUGGGCGAAAGCCUGACGGAGCAACGCCGCGUGAGUGAUGAAGGUCUUCGAAUCGUAAAACUCUGUUAUUAGGGAAGAACAAAUGUGUAAGUAACUAUGCACGUCUUGACGGUACCUGAUCAGAAAGCCACGGCUAACUACGUG